rnacentral:tRNA from 1 species
UGGGGUAUGGCUCAGGUGGAUGAAUGCUUGCCUAACAUGCAUGAGGCUUUGGGUUCAAUCCCUGGCACCUCAU